rnacentral:rRNA from 1 species
UACGUAGGCAGCGAGCGUUGUUCGGAGUUACUGGGCGUAAAGGGCGCGUAGGCGGUCGUGACAAGUCACUUGUGAAAUCUCCGGGCUUAACUCGGAACGGUCAAGUGAUACUGUCGGACUAGAGUACAGAAGGGGCAACUGGAAUUCUCGGUGUAGCGGUGAAAUGCGUAGAUAUCGAGAGGAACACCUGCGGCGAAGGCGGGUUGCUGGGCUGAUACUGACGCUGAGGCGCGAAAGCCAGGGGAGCGAACGGG